rnacentral:lncRNA from 1 species
AUUGUUAACACCUGGGUGACAUUGUGGGCGUACGUUUGCGUGUGAGUUGGGCUAGAUGCGUGUAGACAACGUGGGAGAAACUUACUAUGUCAGGAA